rnacentral:rRNA from 1 species
UGGUGGGUAGUUUGACUGGGGCGGUCUCCUCCUAAAGAGUAACGGAGGAGCACGAAGGUUGGCUAAUCCUGGUCGGACAUCAGGAGGUUAGUGCAAUGGCAUAAGCCAGCUUGACUGCGAGCGUGACGGCGCGAGCAGGUGCGAAAGCAGGUCAUAGUGAUCCGGUGGUUCUGAAUGGAAGGGCCAUCGCUCAACGGAUAAAAGGUACUCCGGGGAUAACAGGCUGAUACCGCCCAAGAGUUCAUAUCGACGGCGGUGUUUGGCACCUCGAUGUCGGCUCAUCACAUCCUGGGGCUGAAGUAGGUCCCAAGGGUAUGGCUGUUCGCCAUUUAAAGUGGUACGCGAGCUGGGUUUAGAACGUCGUGAGACAGUUCGGUCCCUAUCUGCCGUGGGCGCUGGAGAACUGAGGGGGGCUGCUCCUAGUACGAGAGGACCGGAGUGGACGCAUCACUGGUGUUCGGGUUGUCAUGCCAAUGGCACUGCCCGGUAGCUAAAUGCGGAAGAGAUAAGUGCUGAAAGCAUCUAAGCACGAAACUUGCCCCGAGAUGAGUUCUCCCUGACUCCUUGA